UCGGAAAAGAUGUAUGUAUGUCCAGGAGAGACACUAAGUGCAAUAUGUUCAUCCUAGUUAAGAAUAUUUUCAAAAGUAUAUUUUCCUAGAACAUUUCCUCCAAGUAAUUAUUUAUUUGAAAUAGUUUGAGAGAAAAUAAAAAGAAAAAGAGGAGUAGGACGAAGGUCAAAUCUCGAUUUUCCACUCCCUCACUAAGAUUAUACGGUGAGAUAUACCUGCUGAAUGUUUCUGCCAAUCAGGUAUGGGUUUCACAGCCUGUCUAGUCACUUUCUUUGAAACAUUGCUAGCUCGGAGAAGCUUCAUCUCAGCUUCCCGUCCUGCGUCUUUUUACAUUUCAACUCUUUCAGCUUCCAGCCUAGCCUGCAUAUGAUGGAAUAAAACUUAUUAUUACCCACAAGGACAAAAUUCAAUAAAACACUACCACUUUAAUUGUUUGCAGAAUGAUUAAAAAUAACUAAUUCAGACAAUUCAUUUGGCAGUAGAUGCGACGUGAUAGGAGACAGAUAGACAGCUAGAUUUCAUAGGAAAGCCAAGGAUGCUAGAACCUGGGGAAAGUGAGCAUUGUCACUUGUAGAAGUAUGCUACAGAGAGGAAAAAAGCAGUUUCAAUAAUUAUUAAGAUUCAACAAUUAAGACUCAAGGGCAUGUGACCAGAAAGGCAAGUGGAUAAAUAUAGUUUUCUUCUGAAUUUUCUUCUUCCGGAAGAAAGUUUUGUAGUAAGCAUAUGCACUAAUUUCCAAUGAGCAUAUCUGAUAUCAUAUUGUAAAUCUCUCUAGAUAGCAAAAAAAAUACUUACCUAGUCUUUGCUCUGAUCCUUUCUUGCCGGGCUUUUUCUUCUUGAAGAGCUUUUUCUUUUCUCUUGGUUUCUUCUCGAUCUGUAACAUUUCUUUUUCUCCUUUUUCACUUUUAGAUUUGUGCUCGUGAUCCCUUCGCACAACAAUUAUGUGAUCAUCAAGUAUUUUCACACUCCAGUAAUAAUAUUGAAGUCAGAUGUAUAUUCUCAGUAAAAUUAAAUUAAACUGUAAAAAUUUGUAAUUGUAAUUAAACUUCGAAAUCUGGGUACUCCAAACAUGUAUAGAAUGAACAACAAACAUUAACAAAAAUUUAAGAUUAAGGAGGUUGCUAGCCUAUAUAGCUUUAAUUGCAUGUUCUUCUCAUAUCUUAAUCCCCGGUAUGGAGAAUGUACAAAAAUUAACAUUGAACAUUUGUGAAAAAACAUAGGCUAAAUUGGUCAAGUAUGGAAAUAAAUAGUCAUAUAACCACAAUGACUCAGUCUGAAUUGAUAAAAUUUACACACCGAAAUAAUUCAAGGCCUACUAUCUCAGUCUAAUCCAGUUAGCUAUGUUUGUAUAUGCAACAGUGGUUCCAUCAGUAGAGAAAAGGUAGGUAUCACUGAUAAAUACAUCAAAAUCGAAUUUUCAUGAUGUCUUGGUCUUUCGCAUGUGAUCUUCAACAAAGCACAGUAAUUAGCUUUUCGACCAACCUAUUGGUAUAUCAUUGUCCCUUGAUAAUUUUACAUGCCUGGAAAAAGGAUAACAGAGAAUAGCUCAAAAAUUGUGAAACAUGAAGUUAUAACACAUCAAAUGAUGCUUGCUAAGUAUUUAAUUUCUGCUGCUGUAAUCCUUCAUUUUCUGUAAAGAUAAAGAAAGAAUACAAAGAAAAUCAUGGCUUUUCUCUGGGAGUGGAAAUUUCAUCUCUUACUCUAGGAGCAAAAAAUAAUCAAAACCCCACGCAAUACAAACCAAGAAGCACAACCAAAUAUUUCAAGAAAUAAUAACCAACCCAUUUAACCAAAUAGCUCAAAACUUCAAAAAACAAUCAAAACUUUAACGCAGAACUACACUAAAACCAAUAAAACCCAACUAAAGUUUAAAACAAGAAGUUCAAACGAAAAUAUAAAAAAUAUUAAUGGAAACUUGAAGUUGAUUUUUAGAAAUUGCAACCGUCUCUAUAUUGAUCCCUAAAUCCCUCCUUAUGAUGUUAAUGGAAACUUGUGCAAUUUGUGUCCCCUCGAGAGCAUCCAAUUGAAAAGAAUAAAUUGUUACUAUCGUCUUUGGGUUUAAUAUCCUAUUUCACUUACGAUUAAUAUUUCACUUUUUGAUGAUGUGUUUCAGCAAUGGAAUAUUGAAAGUGCAAGAAGAAGAUCAAGGGAAAAGCAAACGAUUUGGGAAGAGAAGUGUUCAGUAUAACUUGCG
rnacentral:lncRNA from 1 species